CACGCCGUAAACGAUGAGUGCUAAGUGUUAGGGGGUUUCCACCCCUUAGUGCUGCAGCUAACGCAUUAAGCACUCCGCCUGGGGAGUACGGUCGCAAGACUGAAACUCAAAGGAAUUGACGGGGGCCCGCACAAGCGGUGGAGCAUGUGGUUUAAUUCGAAGCAACGCGAAGAACCUUACCAGGUCUUGACAUCCCGCUGACCGCUAUGGAGACAUAGCCUUCCCUUCGGGGACAGCGGUGACAGGUGG
rnacentral:rRNA from 1 species